rnacentral:ncRNA from 1 species
CANAGGUUUGGUCCUAGCCUNUGAAAUCAAUUUNACACUCAACUUACACAUGCAAGUAUCCGCAACCCUGUGAGAACGCCCUCAAACNCCCUCCUNGGGNGCGAGGAGCUGGUAUCAGGCACAACAUUUNAGCCCAAGACACCUAGCUAUNGCCACACCCACAAGGGNACUUCAGCAGUGAAUAACAUUAAAUAUGAGCGACAGCUUGAUUUAGUCACAGUGUAAAANGAGCCGGCAAAUCUGGUGCCAGCCGCCGCGGUUAAACCAAGAGGCUCAAAUUGAUUUUNNGAUCGGCGUAAAGCGUGAUUAAAGUUAUACACCCAUNNNUAGAGUCAAACUAAAAUUGGGCCGUAACACNGCNUUAUUUUAAAGAAGUNCCAAANGACGAAGGUUACUCUAACUUAAANCAACUUGAAUCCACGACAACUAGGAAACAAACUGGGAUUAGAUACCUCACUAUGCCUAGUCGUAAACUUUNAAAUUACACCANNCCAUCGCCAGGGAACUACGAGCAAAGCUUAAAACCCAAAGGACUUGACGGUCCCCCACAUCCAUCUAGAGGAGCCUGUCCUAUAAUCGAUACCCCCCGCUUAACCUCACCACUUUUUGCCUUUUUCAGCCUGUAUACCUCCGUCGUCAGCCCACCACGUGAGCGAUAUAUAGUGAGCUUAAUGUNNNNNNNNNNNNNNNNNUCUUACACCAAUACGUCAGGUCAAGGUGCAGCAAAUAAAGUGGGAAGAGAUGGGCUACAUUUUCUAUCANUAGAAUAUANCGAAAGACUAUUUAUGAAACCNUAGUCAGAAGGCGGAUUUAGCAGUAAAAAGAAACUANUAGUGUUCUUUUUAAUUAGGCACUGGGGUGCGUACACACCGCCCGUCACC